AUACGGAGGAUCCGAGCGUUAUCCGGAUUUAUUGGGUUUAAAGGGUGCGCAGGCGGCCAUUUAAGUCAGCGGUUAAAUCGUGGGGCUCAACCCCACUCUGCCGUUGAUACUGGGUGGCUUGAUUGCGGUCGAGGUUGGCGGAAUUCGUUGUGUAGCGGGGAAAUGCAUAGAUAUGACGAAGAACACCGAUUGCGUAGGCAGCUGACCAGACCGCAAAUGACGCUCAUGCACGAAAGUGCGGGGAUCGAACAGGAUUAGAUACCCUGGUAGUCCGCACAGUAAACGAUGAAUACUUGUUUUCGGCGAUAUAAUGUCGGAGGCAAAGCGAAAGCGAUAAGUAUUCCACCUGGGGAGUACGCCGGCAACGGUGAAACUCAAAUGAAUUGACGGGG
rnacentral:rRNA from 1 species